GGCAGUGUAGCAUAGUGGUUAAGGAGCAAGACUUGCAACUGAAAGGUUGCUGGUUCAAUUCCAUAAGGCCACUGCUG